UGAGAGAAGUGUGUGUGUGAGAGAAAAGCUGCUUUUGGUUUGUGUGAGAGAAGUGUGUGUGUGAGGAAAGCGUGCGUGUGUUUGUGUGAGAGAAAGCGUGCGUGUGUUUGUGUGAGAGAAAGUGUGUGUGUGAGAGAAAGCGUGCGUGUGUGGUUUGUGUGAGAGAAAAGCGUGCGUGUGUUUGUGUGAGAGAAAGUGUGUGUGGAGUGGAAAGGGUCGUGUGUUUGUAUGAGAGAAAGCGUUUGUAUGAGAGAAAGCGUGUGUUUGUAUGAGAGAAAGUGUCUUGUAUGAGAGAAAGCGUGUUUUUGUGAGAGAAAG
rnacentral:lncRNA from 1 species